rnacentral:rRNA from 1 species
AUACGUAGGGUGCGAGCGUUGUCCGGAAUUACUGGGCGUAAAGAGCUCGUAGGUGGUUUGUCGCGUCGUCUGUGAAAUUCCGGGGCUUAACUCCGGGCGUGCAGGCGAUACGGGCAUAACUUGAGUACUGUAGGGGAGACUGGAAUUCCUGGUGUAGCGGUGAAAUGCGCAGAUAUCAGGAGGAACACCGGUGGCGAAGGCGGGUCUCUGGGCAGUAACUGACGCUGAGGAGCGAAAGCAUGGGUAGCGAACAGGAUUAGAGACCCUGGUAGUCCAUUCCGUAAACGGUGGGCGCUAGGUGUAGGGGUCUUCCACGACUUCUGUGCCGUAGCUAACGCAUUAAGCGCCCCGCCUGGGGAGUACGGCCGCAAGGCUAAAACUUAAAGGAAUUGACGGGG